AAGAAGAUGGUCAAGAAUAGCCCAAACCCAAGAAAUUAUUAUCGGUGCUCGGUUGAAGGCUGCCAUGUCAAGAAGAGAAUAGAAAGAGAUCGAGAGGAUCAAAGCUAUGUAAUAACAACCUAUGAGGGUGUCCACAAUCACCCAAGUUCUUCUUAGGCUUCAAGCUUUACUGUUGCUUUCAGUUCAUUGAGUUUCUGGCUAGCAUUGCACAACCCCACUUAAUUGUAUCAUAUCAUUAAGAAAGUGAAAGUGGGGUUGUGNNNNNNNNAAUCUGAGUCUAAUGAACUGAAAAAAAAACUAUAAUGAAAUAUUAAUAAUAUUAUAUUUUU
rnacentral:misc_RNA from 1 species